rnacentral:rRNA from 1 species
GACUACUGGGGUAGCACGCGCGAAUCUUAGCGUAGUGCGAAAGCAAGUCAAGGAUAAUCCGACGACUAGCUACUAAAUCACAGUCCGUGCCUCUAGCAGACAGCUGCGCUACCUAU